ensembl:snRNA U6 U6 spliceosomal RNA
GGGCCUUGCCCCUUGAAGGGGCCCAUACACUGAAAGUGGGCCAAUACAGAGACAAUUAGCAUGACCCCAGACCAAGGGUGACACACAAAUUUGUGAAGUGGCCUAGUGAGGC